rnacentral:SRP_RNA from 1 species
CUUGGGUUGCGAUUGACUGGGCUGCCCAUUCCAAGUUGGGAGCUGGGCCAAUGGUGGUUCUGAGAAGGCAGAGCUGUCUUGGCCUUUAGAUCGGAGGGUAUUGUGUUAGGCUGGUUUCACAGAGCAGCAAACACCUCUUCCUCUUAACGGUGGAAGGAUAACAGGCUGCCCAUUCCAAG